rnacentral:lncRNA from 1 species
AGCAAUUAUUUGUAUCUUUCUGAAGCAUUUUCACAAGUGCCUGCAUACGUUCAUAUACUUCUGGCUGUCAAAUUUGGGGGCUUUGAUAUCAUUUUACUUUCAUCGUUAUUUUGGAAUGUAGAGAAGAUAAUAAUUAUCCAAGUGCCAUGUAGUGAGUGUUAAGGGAGAUCAUGAAUGGCCUUUGAAACACCUUGAAGUGAGGUGUCUACCUCCCAUUUGUAUCUCUGAAAAGUUUCCAUACUUUUUUUAAAGUUCACUGGUUUUUAUAACUGUUACUUAUCUUCGAAUAACAAGAAGAGACUUUCACCAGCAGAAACACUCGAAAAAUGUAAAUCAAGGAUAGUGUGUUUGCUCCAAUCACAGAUGAGGGACGUAUCUGGUUGCACCCAGCAGGUCUGGAACACAGACACACUUAGCUGAGCUGAAGCAGCACUGUUUUUCAGUUGUUUCUUGGCUUUGUGAAGAGGAAGGGGGUGUUGUGUCGAUACCGCAUCAUAACACAGUUUUAAACUCCCAGUGAUACAGACUUAAAUCUCAGGGUCACUGCUGCUAUAAUGCAUUUGCUUAAUAACUACAGCUGAGUACAGUUUCCAGAUCUUGCAGGUCGCACUGGUAUGGUGAUGUACCAGAGGGUCGAUGUGACUGAAAGAUGUAGAAAGUGGCUGUGGUGUGUAGGUGAGGAAGUAGAUUACAACUGAUCCUAACGGAGGUCUUCCUGUCACUUUCCAGCAAUGUAACUGUGCAUCACUGUCAGUGAUAACAGAAGCUUUUUCUCUGUGCAGAUUCUGAUGAUGUGUUCGUAGUCACGAAGUUAUUUCAGGGAAUGGAACCACGCUUCAAACAUAUGCCUUUAACUACCCGCUGCUCAGAAGGGCAUGAGAAAGCUUUAACGGCCUUGCAGUUUGAAGGACCUACUGCUAAAGGCAACUCUUGUUACAGAUAAGUAAUAAAUUACUGUGAACUUGUCAUAACAGUUUAGUCACUUGCCCUCCUUUUUCUGCUCAGUGCACGCACUACUGUGUGUUUUAUCUUUCCAGGCCAUUUAUCUAAGAUGUUAGUGUAACUAACAUUGCUGCUGUACAUGAUGUAGGAAAUAAUUACAGGAGACAAAAGCUCCAGGAAUUCAUAGCAGCUUUUCUUCCUUCUUGCUGUGUAGCGAAUGCUUGAACUGGGUUGGCUGCCCUCUGAUCUCCUGUGGGUUCAAGAAACAGCUCGUCAUUCUAUUUCCAGUUUUGCUUUCUACUGUUUUAAAGUAGUAUGCAGCUGCAGGGUGU